UGAGGAAUAUUGGUCAAUGGACGCAAGUCUGAACCAGCCAUGCCGCGUGCAGGAUGACAGCUCUAUGAGUUGUAAACUGCUUUUAUAUAGGAAGAAAUCCUUCUACGUGUAGAGGGUUGACGGUACUAUAAGAAUAAGCAUCGGCUAACUCCGUGCCAGCAGCCGCGGUAAUACGGAGGAUGCAAGCGUUAUCCGGAUUUAUUGGGUUUAAAGGGUGCGUAGGCGGGGCAAUUAGUCAGUGGUGAAAUCCUGCGGCUUAACCGUAGAAUUGCCAUUGAUACUGUUGCCCUUGAGUAUAGUUGAAGUGGGCGGAAUAUGUAAUGUAGCGGUGAAAUGCAUAGAGAUUACAUAGAACACCAAUUGCGAAGGCAGCUCACUAAGCUAUCACUGACGCUGAGGCACGAAAGCGUGGGGAGCGAACA
rnacentral:rRNA from 1 species